rnacentral:rRNA from 1 species
UGCCGGGCGGUGUGUACAAAAUUUCGAUUACGUAUUCACUGCGACAUGCUAAGACUGGAUAGGAGACAAGAAGGCAUCUUCUUGUUUUUAAAAGACCUAGCAAUAGGUAUGCUUAGGGAGGAGCUUGCGUCACAUUAGUUAGUUGGUGGGGUAAAGGCCUACCAAGACUAUGAUGUGUAGCCGGGCUGAGAGGUUGAACGGCCACAUUGGGACUGAGACACGGCCCAAACUCCUACGGGAGGCAGCAGUAGGGAAUUUUCGGCAAUGGAGGAAACUCUGACCGAGCAACGCCGCGUGAACGAUGAAGUAUUUCGGUACGUAAAGUUCUUUUAUUAGGGAAGAAUAAAUGAUGGAAAAAUCAUUCUGACGGUACCUAAUGAAUAAGCCCCGGCUAACUAUGUGCCAGCAGCCGCGGUAAUACAUAGGGGGCAAGCGUUAUCCGGAAUUAUUGGGCGUAAAGGGUGCGUAGGCGGUUAAAUAAGUUUAUGGUCUAAGUGCAAUGCUCAACAUUGUGAUGCUAUAAAAACUGUUUAGCUAGAGUAAGAUAGAGGCAAGUGGAAUUCCAUGUGUAGUGGUAAAAUGCGUAAAUAUAUGGAGGAACACCAGUAGCGAAGGCGGCUUGCUGGGUCUUUACUGACGCUGAGGCACGAAAGCGUGGGGAGCAAACAGGAUUAGAUACCCUGGUAGUCCACGCCGUAAACGAUGAGUACUAAACGUUGGGUAAAACCAGUGUUGAAGUUAACACAUUAAGUACUCCGCCUGAGUAGUACGUACGCAAGUAUGAAACUUAAAGGAAUUGACGGGACUCCGCACAAGCGGUGGAUCAUGUUGUUUAAUUCGAAGGUACCCGAAAAACCUCACCAGGUCUUGACAUGCUUCUGCAAAGCUGUAGAAACACAGUGGAGGUUAUCAGUUGCACAGGUGGUGCAUGGUUGUCGUCAGCUCGUGUCGUGAGAUGUUGGGUUAAGUCCCGCAACGAGCGCAGCCCUUAUUGUUAGUUACCAGCACGUAAUGGUGGGGACUUUAGCAAGACUGCCAGUGAUAAAUUGGAAGGAAGGUGGGGACGACGUCAAAUCAUCAUGCCCCUUAUGACCUGGGCUACAAACGUGAUACAAUGGCUGUUACAAAGGGUAGCUGAAGCGCAAGUUUUUGGCGAAUCUCAAAAAAACAGUCUCAGUUCGGAUUGAAGUCUGCAACUCGACUUCAUGAAGUUGGAAUCGCUAGUAAUCGCGAAUCAGCAUGUCGCGGUGAAUACGUUCGCGGGGUUUGUACACACCGCCCGUCA